rnacentral:misc_RNA from 1 species
AUUGGCGAGUGCACCGCCAGGGUAUUUGUCCAAAACGGUGCCAAGGUCCUGAUAGCAGAUGUCCAAGAUGAUCUCGGCCACUCUCUCUGCCAAGAAUUUGGAUCCCCAGAAAUCAUCUCUUAUGUCCGCUGCGAUGUAACUAGCGACUCUGACGUCAAAAACGCUGUGGAUACUGCCGUCUCCAGAUACGGAAAACUGGACAUCAUGUUCAACAACGCUGGGGUUUCAGGCAGCCCUGGAGCAAAUAUCCUGGGCUCUGACAAUGAAGAAUUCAAG